UACGGGAGGCAGCAGUGGGGAAUAUUGCACAAUGGGCGCAAGCCUGAUGCAGCCAUGCCGCGUGUAUGAAAAGGCCUUCGGGUUGUAAAGUACUUUCAGUCGUGAGGAAGGUGUUAAGGUUAAUAACCUUAGCAAUUGACGUUAGCGACAGAAGAAGCACCGGCUAACUCCGUGCCAGCAGCCGCGGUAAUACGGAGGGUGCGAGCGUUAAUCGGAAUUACUGGGCGUAAAGGGCACGCAGGCGGUUAAUUAAGUUGGAUGUGAAAUCCCCGGGCUUAACCUGGGAAUGGCAUUCAAGACUGGUUAGCUAGAGUCUUGUAGAGGGGGUAGAAUUCCAUGUGUAGCGGUGAAAUGCGUAGAGAUGUGGAGGAAUACCGGUGGCGAAGGCGGCCCCUGGACAAAGACUGACGCUCAUGUGCGAAAGCGUGGGGAGCAAACGAGGGAUUAGAUACC
rnacentral:rRNA from 1 species